rnacentral:rRNA from 1 species
GUGGGGAAUCUUAGACAAUGGGCGCAAGCCUGAUCUAGCCAUGCCGCGUGAGCGAUGAAGGCCUUAGGGUUGUAAAGCUCUUUCAGAUGGGAAGAUAAUGACGGUACCAUCAGAAGAAGCCCCGGCUAACUCCGUGCCAGCAGCCGCGGUAAUACGGAGGGGGCUAGCGUUGUUCGGAAUUACUGGGCGUAAAGCGCGCGUAGGCGGAUUGGAAAGUUGGGGGUGAAAUCCCGGGGCUCAACCUCGGAACUGCCUUCAAAACUCCCAGUCUUGAGUUCGAGAGAGGUGAGUGGAAUUCCGAGUGUAGAGGUGAAAUUCGUAGAUAUUCGGAGGAACACCAGUGGCGAAGGCGGCUCACUGGCUCGAUACUGACGCUGAGGUGCGAAAGCGUGGGGAGCAAACAGGAUUAGAAACCCGAGUAGUCC